rnacentral:rRNA from 1 species
CUACGGGGUGCAGCAGUGGGGAAUCUUAGACAAUGGGGGAAACCCUGAUCUAGCCAUGCCGCGUGAGCGACGACGGCCCUAGGGUUGUAAAGCUCUUUCACCGGGGACGAUAAUGACGGUACCCGGAGAAGAAGCCCCGGCUAACUUCGUGCCAGCAGCCGCGGUAAUACGAAGGGGGCUAGCGUUGCUCGGAAUUACUGGGCGUAAAGGGCGCGUAGGCGGAUCGUUAAGUCAGAGGUGAAAUCCCAGGGCUCAACCCUGGAACUGCCUUUGAUACUGGCGAUCUUGAGUGUGAGAGAGGUAUGUGGAACUCCGAGUGUAGAGGUGAAAUUCGUAGAUAUUCGGAAGAACACCAGUGGCGAAGGCGACAUACUGGCUCAUUACUGACGCUGAGGCGCGAAAGCGUGGGGAGCAAACAGGAUUAGAUACCCCUGUAGUC